GUAGGGAAUAUUGGUCAAUGGACGAAAGUCUGAACCAGCCAUUCCGCGUGCAGGAAGAAGAUUCUAUGGAUUGUAAACUGCUUUUAGCAGAGAAGAAACGCCUUCAUUGAUGAGGGUUUGACGGUAUCUGCGGAAUAAGCACCGGCUAACUCCGUGCCAGCAGCCGCGGUAAUACGGGGGGUGCAAGCGUUAUCCGGAAUCACUGGGUUAAAAGGGUGCGUAGGCGGGAAAUUAAGUCAGUGGUGAAAGUCUGUUGCUUAACGAUAGAAUUGCCGUUGAUACUGAUUUUCUUGAAUUGGGUUGAGGUUAGCGGAAUGUGACAUGUAGCGGUGAAAUGCAUAGAUAUGUCAUGGAACACCAAUUGCGAAGGCAGCUAGCUGGGCCUUGAUUGACGCUGAGGCACGAAAGCGUGGGUAGCGAACAGGAUUAGAAACCCUAGUAGUCC
rnacentral:rRNA from 1 species